CGCUGGUGAGGCUCGCCUGGCCGCGUUUGGUAGUAACCGCUUUCAGUAAUGACUUUGUGAAUGCAUCAAACGCUGGUUUUAACUGUCCGUGCGGGGCACUGGGCAGGCAUUCUGUCAGUGCCUUGGGACUGAGGCGCGUCACCUUCCCUGGAAGAGCCAAGAUAGUAUCCGAUAGAUGCUGCAAAGGCGCAUGGAACUGCAGAAAUGGAGGGGACUCUGGCCUUCCGCCGGCCCUUCCCUCCAGGUGGGUAGGUAAGGGGAAAGGGUGACUCGGGACCCUCCGUCGGGAAUCACUGCCGUGCAGGGACCGGUCUAGGCGCUGCCAGAACCAGCAACUCCGCUCAGUCCCGCGCUCUGGACACACUGGAGGGGUGUAGAGUCAGUAGAGCUGUUGAGGGGGAAUCACUAACGUAGAUGUAAACAUGCUUGAGCUGUUUUCAAGCCUGUAGCCAUCAGAUACUGCCUGGGAUUGUGAUUACACCUCUCCGUAUUGCAGGGGCCGAGGGCAGGCUGCCCCAAGUGUGCUACUUUGGCGUAUUGAUUAUUUCAAAUACGUUACUUAAGAGACCACCUGUGUAGGAAGGACACUCAGACCCUUCUCUGUCCCCUGAAAACAGGAAAUCAAUCGGCACGUGAAAGGUACCCUCUUUGUAUCAGGAGAUAAGGAGCCAUCCUUAUCACCAGAAAUGUAGAGCCAAGAAGGCUUUAUAAACAACCCUUGCUACUUUUUACUAAUUUACUACCCCAGCCCACAUUCUGUUUAGAAUUCCUUACUAAUUGAAGCUUCCAAAGUUAGGUUUUCUAUAUCCUGUCAAUUCUUCACAGAUCUAUUGUCUCCGUCUGGAAAGUAUAAAACCUUCCUGCUUUGGUCAUUUCUUUAGGCCUCAAUUUCAUGAUUUGGCCUCUGUAAUAAAAUGUUGGAUUUUUUUUCUCCUGCCAAUCUGUCUCAUGUAAAUUUAAUUCUUAGUCCAGUUGGAAGACCUGUGGGUAGAGAAUUUUUCAUCCAUCCUUAUCUACUUACUGUGUGCUUGCUGUGUGUCCGCUCUGUUUUAGGAGCUGAGAAACAAUGUAUUGAAAAUGUCUGAGAGCAGAUCUCCCAACGUUCCAGGACAACCUGGGGCCCUAUUUCCAAAUCCACUUCCUUUUGGUGACCCACUAACCACUUAACCUUGAGCAAGCAUGUUUAUGUUAGAUCACCAGCCCCUGCUUUGUCCAAUCAGAUAGUCAGGUGUGACAUUUUUAAGGCAAGUACGUGGCCUGUUCUGAAUGCUAUUCCCCAGCUGUGGCAUCUGAAAAACUAAAUGCAGCCAUUAUAUCACCACGACUAAAUGUACCAUACAGGUUGAUGACUGGUGCCCCACUGGUUCCGAGGUGGGCUUUAAUUUCUAGCCCACCCCACCCCCUAGCAGGGAUUUUUUUUUUCCUCCUUAAAAUGCUAUCACAGGAACCUGGAUCUUUCUCCAAAGUCUGCCAAGCAGGCACUAGCAAACCAGAGUGAGGCUGAGGCAUGGAGGGUUUUCCGAGGGCCCCAAUGGCCUUGCUGACUUAUACAUGUUUAUAAAGUGCUGUAAUUAAACAAAGUGAGAAAGUCAGUAUGGUAGGGAGAUAAUAAGAAGGACAUAGGAUAGUAAGGGAAAUGGUGCCUGGGUCAAGGGAAGGGCCUGAACAUCAGCUGUUUUGACCUUAAGGGAAAAAAAUCACAUGAUUAGGGCUUCUUAGACUCUAACCUGCAUGCAGACUUCCUGGGGGAUAUUUUUUAAUUGCAGAUUCCAAUUCUGUAGGUCUGGUAUGUGGCCUGAUUAUUAAUUGAGAUUCUCUCUCUUUUUUGUAAUGUUUAUUUAUUUUUGAGAGAGAGAGCGCAAGUGGGGGAGGAACAGAGAGAGGGAGACACAGAAUCUGAAGCAGGCUGGAGGCUCUGAGCUGUCAGCACAGAGCCUGAUGCAGGGCUUGAACUCACAAGCUGUGAGAUCAUCACCUGAGCUGAAGUCAGAAGCUUAACCGACUGGCCACCCAGGCACCCCGCGAUUCUGUGUUUCUAAUCAGCUCCCAGUGAUGCCUCUGGUCUUGCUAUAUGGGUCAGCACACGGCCCUUUAAAUAACAAAGCUCUAGAGCAGCCACUAGAACUUUCUGCAGUGAUGGAAACAGUCUAAAUCUUACUGUCCAGUAAAGUAGCCAUGAGGCACGUGUAGCUAUAGAGCAUUUAAAAUUUGGUUUGUGUGACUGAGUUUUUUACUUUAAUUAACUUAAACUUAAAAACCCACAUGUAGCCAAUGGCUACCAUGUUGGACAGCAAGGUCUAGAUUGUAUACUCCUUAUCUAUGAAAUGAGAGUUUGAAACUGGAUGAUUUUCUAUAUUCCUUCUGGUGUCCUAUGGUCCCAAGUUGUUUUCAAGGUGUGUGUAGAGGGAGGGGAUGGAUGAGGGAGCAAGAUGUUACAGAUGUCAAAAUUUGGUAUGAAGGACUAGGGAUCAAGAGCUCUACCAUGGUGGGGUGGCGGAAGCGGUUUAAGUUUUUUAAGUUAUUUAUUUUGGGUGGGGGAAAGGCAGAGAAAGGGGGAGAGAGAGAGCCCAACGUGGAAGCUCAAACCCACGAACCGACUGAGCCACCCCCCCAACUUUUUUUUAAAGUCUAAAGAGCAUAGCAAGGACUAAAGCUUACUGCCUCUGCUAUGUCACAUCUGCUCUGCCUCUGUUGGGGGUGAGAUCGGAAGAGCGUCGNGAGGGAGGGGAUGGAUGAGGGAGCAAGAUGUUACAGAUGUCAAAAUUUGGUAUGAAGGACUAGGGAUCAAGAGCUCUACCAUGGUGGGGUGGCGGAAGCGGGCCAUGGUCACCUAAGGGAGGGAUUCUAGAACUCAGCGGUAGAAUUGCCCUCCAGAGACAAGAGACUCUGAGUAGCCAAUGAAUGUCGGUUGAACUCUUCAAAAGCAGAUAAAAGGCCUUCUUUAGCAAGAUACAAAUGCCAGGCCAUAAAGGAAAAGAGCAAGUAAUAUAACCAUAUCAAAAUUUAAAGUUUCUGUGUGGAAAAAAAAAAGACACACAAUGAAACACAAUGCAAAAAGUUGAAACAGACCUGGGUUUAAUGUCUUCAAUAUAUAAAGAAAAAUUAAAUGAUAAAAAAAUAUAAAAUAGAUUUUUAAAAUCCUUCUCAAAAAACUCUCAAGUCAUGCACAGACACAAGAUGCCUAUACUCAUCUGGGAUCAAGAGAAUGGAAAUUCAAACCAUGAUGACAUAACUAAAAAAGGUUCAUGGUACUAAAUAUUGUCAAGAACCUGGCUCGAUGGGGAAUACUUCCACCCAGUCCAUGGGAGUGCCAAUUGAUACAGCUGUUUGGAAAACAGUUUGGAAGUGACCUGUUUAAAAAAUGUAAAAUGAAUAUACCUUCUGACCAAACAAUUUAAUUUCUGGAAGCCCAGCCCCUCUCAUGUGCGUAUAGAGAUACAUAAAAGGAUGUUUCAGUAUUUUAAUAGUAAGAAGAAGGAGAAGAAGAAGAAAAGAAAGAGAAGAAAAAGAAAACGAAAUAAGAAUGCCCAUGAUUAAAUAAAUUCUGAUACCCCCCAUAAUAUGAAAUGCCUUGACAGCAAUUAAUAAAAAUGAGGUAAAUCUGUAUUCACUAAUUUGGAAAGCUCUCCAGAACAUACCGAUAUGUAAAAAAAGCAAAAUCCGUGAAGUAUGAGCCAAAAGUUGGUUCUUUGAGAUUAAUAAAAUUGGUAAACUCCUAGCUAACUAAUCAAGAAAAAAAAAACAAAAAUAGAAAUGAAGGCUACAGAUUUGGGAAAGAGGAUGUGACUACAGAUCCUACCAACAUUAGGAUGAUAAUGAGGCAGUAUUACAAACAGCUUUAUGCCAAUGAAUUUGACAACUUAGAUAAAAUAGACAAGAUUUUAUCUUAAGUUAGAGAACAUAACUUACCAAAAACUGACAGGAUAAAAUAAGAAACUUGAAUAAAAUAAAAUAAAAUAAAAUUAAAUUAAAUUAAAUUAAAUUAAAUUAAAUUAAAUUAAAAUAAUGGUGUCAAAACCCUUUAAGAAAAAAAGAAACUUGAACAACUCAAUAUUUAUUUUUAAAAACAUGAAUAGGGGUGCCUGUGUGGCUCAGUCAGUUGAGCGUCCGACUUCGGCUCAGGUCAUGAUCUCGCAGUUCAUGAGUUCGAGCCCCACGUCGCACUUUGUGCUGGCAGCUGAGAGGCUGGAGCCUGCUUCAGAUUCUGUGUCUCCCUCUCUCUCUGCCCCUUCCCCGCUCAUACUCUGCCUCUCUCUGUCUCUCAAAAAUGAGUAAAAGUUAAAAAAAAUUUUUUUUACGUGAAUAUAUAAUUUUUGAAAAUGUCCUACAUAGAAACAUUUUUUUUUUUGAAGAAUUAAUCUCCCCCAAGGGUGGAGUAAGAUGGUCAUAAAUUCUUUACUCCUUCUCACACUGAAAGUUGGAGGCUAUUUUCUCUCCCCUUCGGUCUGAGCUGAGAUUUGUCGGGACCAGUAAAAUGUUUCGGAAAUGAUGCUGUAAUUUCCGAGUCUGGGACUUAAGAGAUCUGUGGCUUCAGUGUUUACCAAUUCGUGUUAAUUCCUCUCGAAAGUCCGACUACCCCGUGACCACCACGCUGUGAGGAAACUCUGCUGACCAUGCGGCACCAGACUUCUUAAGAUUUCUGGCCCAGCCUCUGCUACUGAAUGCCCCCAAGUGAAUGACACCAACCGACGACACGUGGAUUAAAAUAUCUGCCCAGACGAGCUCAAGUUCCUGACAGAGAACGGUAAAAACAAAAUAAUGGUUGUUUCAAGCCACUGUAUUUUGAGGUCGUUUGUUAUAUAGCAAUAGGCAAUUGAAUCACCUCUGCAUCCCACGGGGAUAACACUUUACCUCACCAAUGUGUGACGCUGCUAUUUCAUAGAGGAAAUUAAGUAGUUGAUUUAUUGAGUUCAAGACUUUUUUCACCGUUUUUUUCACUUUUUGUUUUGAGGUAAUUGCAGGUUUACAUGCAGUGGAAAGAAUCUGGCGCGAUCCCAUGCAUCUUUUACAGUUUUCCCUUGCGGUAACAUGAUGCAAAACUGUAGUUCAACAUCACAACCAGGAUAUUAACACUGAGGUAAAAAAGACAUAGGACAUUUCCAUCAUCACAAGGGUCCCUUGUGUUGCCGUUUUGUAGCCACACCCACUUCCCUCCUGCACACACACCACACCCCUCCAUCCUUAACCUCUGGUUAACAACUAACUUGCCUCUAUGGUUUGGUCCCUUCAAGAAACUUCUGUAAAUGGAAUCAUACAAUAGGUAGCCUUUUGAGAUUGACUUGUUUCUCUCGGCAUAACUCCCUGGAGAUUUAUUGAAGUUGUCAAAUGUGUUAGUAAUUUGCUCCUUUUUAUAGCUGAAUACUAUUCCAUGGUUGGAUAUACCACCGCUUGUUUAACCAUUCACCUAUUGAAGGACAUCUGGGUUAUUUCCAGUUUGAACCUUACAAAUAAAUCUACCAUAAAAAUUCAUGCACAGGUUUUUGUGUGAACUGAAGUUUUCAUUUUUCUGGGAUAAAUGACAAUGCAAUUGCCAAGUCACAGUUGCAUGUUUAGUUUUUUAAGAAGCUGCCAGACUCUUCCAGAGUGUCUGUACCAUUUUUUGUUCCCACCAGCAAAACGUAAUUGAUCUAGUUUCUGCACACCCUCACCAGCAUUUGGUGGUAUCUCUGUUUUUAUUUUAGCCAUUCUGAUAGGUGUAUAGUGAUGUCCCCUUGUGGUUUUAAUUUGCAUUUCCCUGAUGACUAGUGAUGCUGAGCAACUUUUCCCAUGCUUAUCUGCCAUCCAUGUAUCCUUUUCAAUGAAAUGUCUGUUCAUGUGUCUUGCCCAUUUUCUAACUGUUGGGUUUUAAGAACUUAUUAUGUUCUCUAGAUGCUGGUCCUUUGUCAGAUGUAUGGUCUGCAAAUAUUUUCUCUCGUAUGCAGUUUGUCUUCUCAUCCUCCUCACAUGGGCUUUUUCAGAACAGAGAUUUUAAUUUAAUGAAAUCCAAUGUAUUGAUUGUUUUGAGGGCUUAUGCUUUGAUGUUGUCUAAGAACUCUUUGCCUAACCUGAGCUCCCAAGAUUUUCUCCUUUGUCCUUUUCUAAAAGUUUCAUGGUUUUCAUGUUGCAUUAAGUCCAUGAUUCAUUUUGAGUUAAUAUUUGUGUAAGGAAAGAGGUUUGGGUCAGGGGUGCUGUUUGUUUAUUGCUGAUGGCUAUCUAAUGGCUCCGGGACAGAUGGUACCACAGAUAGUUUUUGACAUACUGCUCAGUAGUCUCUUGUGCUCUUACGAAGGACAUAUGAUGGGUGAACAAUGGUAGACAUUUUUCAGGGUAAGGAGACUUGCAGGGGUGGAUAUGAAGGUGUGGUGCUUAAACCCCCUUUCAAGGAAGGGCUUCUUAUCCCAGCUGCUGUGAGAGUUUCAGUGGAACAGCUUUCAGUCCUUUCAGGGAACACUCUACCUACAAAGAGCCACCUCACCAAGGUCAUGCCACUCUAAGUAAAAGUCCCAUCUAAUGAUGGCUGGAGGUAGGACUACAAAGGACCAACCAUUUCUACCCAAAAUGGGAUGAUUCAGCUGAGCCUGUUAAACUCCAGAACUCCUUGUGGCUGUGGUCAAGCCUGCAUCAUAGCUCGACUUCUUCCCGGUCUCACUGACCUCCUCCUUUCCAUGGAUGUUGAUCACCAGGGCACUCCUGGAACAUUAAACCCUGUCUCAGACACUGCUUCCUGCAGAAGCCAAAUUGUGACACUUGUUUUCAUUUGUAUUUAAUGAUAAGCAUGGCAUUUGGCUUAGGUGUUGACAAGUGAAAAGGUUAUAACUUGGUGGGUUUUACACUAUGAUUAUAGAAGCCAAGUCACGGUGGGAAAACUUUCCUUAGGAAAUCUACUCUCAGCAUGCAGCACUACAAAUGAGGAAAGGAAUCUGAAAGGUAGGGAGAGGACAGAUGUGUGAGGUAAGAUUAGCACAUGCAUGCAUGUAUAAGAGAGAGAAAGAUCACGAGUGAGAUAGAGUGAGACCUGCAAGAUGCUGUCUCCUCUGUCACCAUGGUUCAUAGUGGUUCCAGCACUAGGAAGGAGAUGUGUAGGGCAGUAUCCAGAAGUGCAGCAGGGCCAAAUCUCCCCAUCAACAUUUGAUAAAAAAUCAGAGAGUUAUGAGCCGGAACAUAAUCCCCAAACUAGUACCGCCUCCGAUUCUGAUGUCCUUCUCAUAUUUUUAUGACUCCUUAGAAAGCCCAGACUCAGAGAAAAGAAGUCAUUGGGCAUGAUUGUCCAGUUUCAGAUUCCAGUGCCAGUGAAGGUGGAGACAGGGAAAAGAGGGGAAAGGAAAAUGCCACAGGGGCUAGCAUUCAAUUUCCAGUCAUGGCUUCCCCUGGCCCCAGGAAAUUUGAAGUCAUGCGAUUUGGGGAGCGAAGUUUAACGGUGUUUCUUUCCUCCACCUUCCGUGUCACUUGAUUAUAAUAGAAGAAACCUAGGUUUUUAUUUUCAGUAGAAUCAGUGUUUCUUAAAACAUUUUUCCCUACCAUAUUUCAGAUCUUUUAACCCUUGUUUUCCUUCUGGUUGUUUUUUUCUUAUCGGCGCAUGCUGAAAUAUUAAGCAUCCUCAUAAAUCAGGAGAAUGCCCUCCAAAAUGUUGACAUUGAAAAUGUCAGUUGCCUUUAUGUGUUUGAACUUCUGAGAGCAAAACCCUUCUACGUAGUCUUUAUUUAUGCCCCGAGCAUGUGUAGCAGGGGCAGGCUUAUACAGUAGCAAGAAGUGUUCAUACCCAUAAUUGCCUCUGACAUUAAUGUUGCCUCUUUAUUCACCCCCCUCACCAUUUUGCAAAUGCAUCCUUCAGUUUAAUACAGCUUAUUGAAUAUCCAUUCCAUUUAGUCGGCACUUGUGGCAGAAAGCAAACAGCAACUGGUAUCUUGGCUCUGUUACAUUUUCUGACAAGUGGAAAAUAUCUGUUUGUGAUGCAAUAAAUACUUGGUUCUAAGUAAUUCAGCAAAUUGGCUUAUUUAGCUUCAGCUCUGCGGGGAUGCACAGAGGGAACAGUUUUUACCCAUCAUUGAUUCUACACUGAAAUACGUUGAUUGUCUAUGCCCACAGCUGGAAGAAUUUUGUGGUGGUAUGAGUGAAUGAGCAGUUAGUGGAAAGGCUGUUCUAAGUCAUUGCAAAACCAGCAGUAACCUUAUUGCUUACGUACAUGGCUGGAGCCAGCCGGCUCUUAUCAGUUGGUGAGUCUAUUGUUAAAUAUUCAGGAAUUUUUGAGCUGGAUGUGAAACCUUGGAACUUUGAAAUUGGGGACUAUUUAUGCCACAGAAAUUGGCAAUCAUUUGAAAUCAGGGCUUUUUGGUUUUUUUGUUUGUUUGUUUGUUUGUUUAAGAUCCGGUUUAUCAACACUCCAUUGCCUACUAUACCGUAACAUAGGCGAGUUACAAAGGAGGUGGCAGGUGAAGAAAUUGAGGUUUCCCAAGAAAAUGAAUAAACCCAAGUAAACUAAAACUACACAAGAAACAGAUGACAAAAUUAUAACAACUUUGUGUAAUGGUCAAGGUAUACAUAAGCAUAUUUAAACACUUAAAAGGUAGAGAUCUGAUUAUUAAAUCAAGCAGGUAUAGUAAUGAUUCAUGGAAGUGAGUCUCAAAUAAGGCUUGUUUUCUUUUAAGUUGAGGUAUACAGCACAAGUCAUAAUAAUUACCACAAAGUGAACACCCCCACAUAAGCACAAUCCAGAUGAUUGAGGAAAUUUUGCAGGAGAAAAAGGGACACUCUAGGAAAGAGUAAUGGAAUAGGCAAUCCAGGUAGGCAUGCAACAGAAAAAAACACCUAUAGCUCCGUGACAGAUAUUUGAGCUUUAAGAAUUUCAGUUAGAUAAUGUAACCGGCUCUGGAUUUUUAUUUUGUUUUAAUAUCAAGAUACUACAGAUCAAUUUAUGAAGACUUUUUUUUAGCUGUGCCGAUGCAUAUACACUUAAUAGCCAAAUUUAGGACAUUUCUUUGCAUAACUCUUCUCCUUUGAGAUUUGAAGGUAUUGCUUAGCUAUCCUCCCCUCUAAGUAUAGCCUCGGAUUUAAUGUACCUUUGACCCUUAAACAAUAUAGGCUUGAACUGAGUGGGCCCACUUAUAUGCAGAUUUUUUUCAAUAAAUACAGUAGAGUGCUAUAAACAUGUUUUCCUUAUGAUUUUCUUAACAUUUUCUUUUCUCUAGCUUUUUCUAGGAACAAAGUAUAUAAUCCGUGUGACGCACAAAAUACAUGUUAUCUAUAUAACUGUUUAUAUUAUCAGUAAGGCUUCUGACCAACAAUAGGUUAUUUGUAGUUGAAUUUGGGGGGGAGCCAAAAGUUGUACAUGAAUUUUAACUGUGCAGGGGGUCAGUACCCCUAACCCCCACUUGUUCAAGGGUCAACUAAUUUCUUCACUUGCCGCAGGGGAAAUGGAUUAUUAUGAAAUAUCUUUCAAGUUCAGUAGCAUAUCCAGUAUGUAUAUUGCUAUCUGCUACUUUUGCAUUAACUCACCAGUCUCCCAAAAUAACAUUUAAACCAUCGUUUACGUGCAUGUGUGCAAUUCUUGUUGGGGGGGGGGGAUGUUGUAUAUUAAAAGUGAUCAUUUUAAUGAUAAUCAACACAUGUAGUUUUACCAGAUUGAGUCUAUCAUUUUUUAUCAUAAACAGUUUUUCUGUGCAAUAAAACCUUUCAAACAAAAAUUACAGUGUAGCAUGUGAUUAUGCUGAAAUGAUCUACCAAAACGAUUAUACCCUCUUAGCGAACCCAUCCUAUAAGCCUUGUUUUCCUUCCUGGCAUCCAGCAGAGCGUCCAGUUCUCCACAUAGCAAUCUGGUCACAGACCAUUACAGGAACAUCAGGGUACUUGUCAGCAGCUGCAGUUGGCUAUAUUUCUGUUAAUGUGCUUGCCAGUUUUCACUGGGGGUGAUCCUAUCUCACCUGAAGUAUAAUAGUUCCUGGAGAAUAGAGAUAUGUUCUCCACUUCCUUUAUAAUUCCCAGAAGUACUUAGAACUAUGCUGUAAUCUAUAUACUGUGAGGACCAAAUAAACCCUGCUUGUUGACGGAGUUACAGCUCAGGUGUAAGUACCACCUGCAAGGAAUUAAAAAUGCUACCUGAUUAAGCUGAUUGAUCUUUCCAUCAUUCUUAACAGUUAAUAUUAUUUCCAUGAAACAAAUGGGAAAUCAGGGAAUAGAGAGGUUCUGUUACCUACCACAACUCUACAGAGAACCGGUAGCAAGAGCCAAGAGUACUUUUCUCUCUUUGUAUCAUAUGCCCUAUGUUGGUGGUGACUGUCCCAUGAGGUGGUGAUGGGUUGAUAAAUGGCUGUCCCACCAUAUGCCCCCUCCUCCCAUAGCUAAGGCGAUCUCGGGGUUGUGUUUCUGGCAAUGGUGUAGAUUUGCUUCCAGUUGAAAAGAGUAAUGUAGCUGUUAUGAAAUUGACAAGACUAGCUUUGUUGGCCUUCUUAAUGUAGGGUAAUAACCACCGAGCUACCAGCCAAAAGUGUAAUUUAAAGCCAUAAGGCAACUGUCACCAGCAGGGGCUCUGUUCCCAUUGCCAGUCAACCCAUCCAAGUAAUGCUCUAAUCAGUAAAUUAGAACAGCUGAGACCUCAGUUAUCAACCAAAUUUGUAAAUCAGCUAUUCACUUGGGCCAUUUAAUUAUAAGAAUGCUGAAUCCACUCUUUUUAUCCAGUUCCACUUCUGAGGACUGGAUCAAAUGGAUUAUUUUUCACCCUAAUUGGAAACUUGGAAAUCAAGUUGGUCCAGUCAUAGAAACAUUAUGAAAAAUACCACCAAAGUUUAGGCUAGAAAGUUUAGGCUCUUAACUACAAAUCUCCCAAUCUAAAUCUCCAGAUUUAGGCCCCAGAAUUUCAUUUAAAAAUCAGCUAAAAAUAUGCUUUGAUUAUGAUAGAUAGAUAAACAGACUAAUAUCCAUGACAGAUGGAUAUAUAAAUAGAUAUAAAGAUAUGCAGCUAUAACCUCUUUCUUUUUUUUUUCUCCUCCUAUCUCGUCAGCAUAACGGUAAUUUAUUUGGUCAAAAAAAAAUGAAAACAAAGCAAUUAUCACUCUAGGUAAAAUAUACAGGAUUUCAGUUGAAUUCCAAAGCAAAAGAGAAUUUAGGUAUCUUGCAUAAAUGUUUAGCCAUUUUUACAACUUACAGAAUAUUGAUUGCCAGGUUUAGUUACCAGUUUGAUCUCCUAAACCCCAAAUAAGAUAUUUCAGCCUCCAUGCAACUUCAGUUCUUAAGCUUUUCCUUUAAUAGUUUGAAUUAUCACUGCAAUUUAGCCUUUACUCAAGUGUAAGACCUUUUUUUCUCUUGAAAGAAAGAAAACAAAGAGAUGUUAAAUAUUUCCUUUUGAAUUAUUCGUCAGUGCUCAAAAUACAGGUUUAAUUCAAAACCAGUGUUUGCACUGUGAAUAACAUAUCAGGAUUUGAAUUAAAAAACAUUGAGUCUAUGAAAGAAACACAGUGUUGUUUUAAAUUAUGGCUUCUUUAAAAUAUAAAUGACUUAAAAUUACAUUGAUAUAAAUUUUUAAAUGUAUUGAAAAACAAAAAAAAAACGGUUAAAUAUGUAACACUAAAAGCACAUACUAGAAUCUCUUUAUACUUGUAUAAUUAAAUAUCCCUGAGUUGGGAAAUAUAAAAGUAAAAAUUUCUCAUAGCAAUCAGUUUCCUAUGUUGCUCACAAAGAGACCAUUACCCAACUUUACCUAUAACGAUUUGAACAAAAUAAUAAACGUUAAGCUAGUAAAUUGAAUUCUCAGAGUUGGAGCUAUGGUCCAACAGUAGAUCCUAUGGAUUUUACUAGUGACUCAUACUCUGUUCUUGAGCAGAAGCAAUAUGUGUUUAGAAGGUGUUGAUAGAAGGAAAGGUAAAUGAAAAGGGAGGCAGAAGAGAAGUAAAUAAAGAGAAGUGUCUUGCCUUUUCUGUAAUAAACUGCCCUAAGAAUCACCAUGCUAGAAGGCCAAGAUUUUUCUUUAAAACCAAAAAAAAAAAAAACAAAAAAAAACCCCACAAAAAACAAAAAGGACAUUGCCUUUUCAUUUUAAAACCCUUUUUCCAGCAAAAUAUACAUAUAGAAAAGUACACAAAACAAACAACUAGCCCAAAGCUUUAUUAUACAGUGAACAUUCAUGUUAUUGUCACAAGGGUCAAGAAAUGGAACAUUUCCACGUUCCCAAAACCUCCCUUGUAUGCCACUCAAUCAUUGCUCCAAAUCUCUAAAGUUAACUCCUCUCUUAAGUUUUAACACCAUAGUUUCAUUUUGCCUGGCCUUAACUUUGCAUAAACAGCUUCAUAAAGAAUGUGAGCUUUGGUAUCUGGCUUCUUUCAUACAACAUUCAUCCAUGUGAUUGCAAUUUCCUAUAGAUGUUCAUGUCCAUUGUCAAAAGACAUCACAAUGUAUUGAUCUGUGCUAUUGCCCUUUCUUUGAUGACUGACUUUGUGACCUUAGAGCUGUUUGAAUAGUUUAUUAGCUUGUGUAUUAGCUUCGUGUGCCUUGAUGACCUAUCCUUUCCCAUGGGCUUUAAAAAUACACCUUUAUUUAAGAUAUAUUAGCCUUGAUCAAAUUCUCAAAAGGGAAGUUUUAAAACUAAUAUUUCCAAAAUAAGUUGUACUAUUGUUAAUUAUUUCAUAUUAUUUCCAAGGACUAUUUAAAUAGCAACAGUUGUAUGCUUUUGCCUGGAUGAAAAGGGGAGUGGUAGGCAAAGGAGACGGAAGAAAACUCAAAAUACAAAUACAAAAUACUUAUUUAUAACCCUAGGAAGAAACAUCAGACUACUCAGAUUGAAUACACAUCUUACAGGAAAGAGCUAAGGGCUAUGUAAUGUGUUGAAAGCUUUCAAUGUUUCCACACAGUAAAUAAAAACAUAGCUGCUUUCAAAGAUGGGAUUUGUGAGGCACUGACACUCUCUGUAUCAGUUCGGUUCUUUGGCUUCAAUCACAGUAACUCCCUUGAGCCGUCUUAAGCAGGAAGAAAAAUGGACCUAAAGGAACCCAAGGGCAAUAGGGUGCAAGGGAGACUGGGUAAUGAGGUCAGCCUCUAAUGAGGUCAGAGCCGGAAAGACAUCCUCAGCAGCCACUUGUAGCAAGCAGAAUCCACCAGUCCUACCAGUCGGAUGGAAUGAAACUAGUUUUCAGUUUCUUUAUUCCUCAGCUCAAGGUUCGGAUUUAAGGAGGGAGCAAAGAAAUUGCUUUGACUUGGGUCAGCUACUUUCCCUUUAGCUGGGCAGAGGGGGUAGUGGAAGGAGGAGAACUUCAGCGAUAGUCCCACGAGACCUUAUGCAGUGGCUGGAAGGUAAUCAUAAUGAAGGUAACGAAGGGGCGGAUAAGAAAGAGAAAUGGAUACAGAGAAGCUCGAAACCACCAAAACCUACUGCAUGCUCCUACAAAACAACUCCCAUUUUGGAUCCAACAUGGGCCAAUGGCAAUCGAGUCCUCUGCUUUAUGGACACAGUUUGGGAAAUGCACAGUUUAUGGCUUUAUUGCUCCCCCCCCGUCUUCAGGCUUGUGGAUCGUUGGGAUUACUUCUAUUUCUAGACUUUAUGUCUGGGCAUCUCUGUCCUGAGUUUUAAAAAUUAAAAUACGGGCGCCUGGGUGGCUCCGUCAGUUAAGCGUCUGACUUUGGCUCAGGUUGUGAUCUUGCCGAGUCCGCAGAGCCGGUUGAGGAUCCUCUGUCCCUCUCUCUCUGCCCCUCCCCUGGACGCGCACGCGCGCGCACUCUCUCAAAAAUAAAAUGACCAUUUUUGGGGCGCCUGGGUGGCGCAGUCGGUUAAGCGUCCGACUUCAUCCAGGUCACGAUCUCGCGGUCCGUGAGUUCGAGCCCCGCGUCGGGCUCUGGGCUGAUGGCUCAGAGCCUGGAGCCUGUUUCCGAUUCUGUGUCUCCCUCUCUCUCUGCCCCUCCCCCGUUCAUGCGCUGUCUCUCUCUGUCCCAAAAAUAAAUAAACGUUAAAAAAAAAAUAAAAUAAAUAAAUAAAAUAACCAUUUUUAAAAAAGAAAAAUAAUUAAAAUAAAAUAAAAACCGGAAGUUGCAAAAAGUCAGUGGAACUCCUUGGAGAAGAGCAGGAGGAGAAGGAAUCCUCACGAUUGUCACGCUUCUGUGAGUUGCACCUCAUCAUUCUCAGAAUGGAAAGUUUCAUUUAUUUUUGGAUGAGGAGUAUAUUCCCAUCUAAGGUUUUGUUUACAAAAAUGCUGAUAAAAAGAUGGAAAGGAAGGCCUUGCCCUUUAGGCUCUAACUGUUACCCGUAGAGACUGAAAGCCCUUUCCUUUUAUCGGAAUCGUUGCAUGAGAUUUUAAAAAAAAAAAAAUGUCUCUCUGGUCGCUGUAUACUGACUGGUAAAAAGAAAAUGAUUGUUGGAAGAUUUUUCUAAUUCAAACAGGCAUUACAGAGUCUGUGAUCACUGUGCCUCAUGGAGUUAAUCUAAAAAAAUAUAAAAGUCAGUGUGGCCAAAGUAACAUCCAUCAUCCCUGGUGCCUCGGGCUGUAAUUCACUGAAUUGUUUUGCUUAGAGCAAACUGCCUUUUGUGAGUUUGUAGACAUCGGGAAGAAAAAUCCAAGCGCUACGCCCAUGGAGUGAAGUCAGAGGCCGGGCCAGUUUUUUUCCCAUCAGUCCUGUGCACUGGUUGCUUAUGGAAGGCACCCAUUCUGAGUAGUCCCUGCCUGUCCUGGCAGCGGGAUUUCGGUGAGCGUGGUCAUCCGCCCUCUCCGUCUUUUGGCUCUUCCAUACUCAGAGCAGGGGAACAGAAGAAUAUAAGGAAAAUGGUAGAGAGUGUUCACCUGGCCGGCAGCAUUUGUGUUACCGGUUCUCACCUGACUGACGUUGGCCAGAUGUCCUGGCUGCCACGACACUGCCGGCUCUCUCCUGAGAAGCACUGGUAGUUUGUUGCAGACCUCAACCCAAGCGACCUCCGUCCCAACAUUUCCUGAUGUAGACAAUGUUAACUUUCAGUUAGAGAUUCAUCCCGGUAAACCCACACACCCUAUGAAUUCUAUCCCCAUCCCAAAAUCUAUAGUGCUUGCCUGAGAUGUUGUUCAGGGGUGGAGAAAGGAGACCCACACUGAGUAUUCUAAAGACACGAAUAAAGUGAAAGCCAGUUGUUAUUUGUACCCCCCCCCUCCUGCUUUGGGGUGUGAAUAAGAGGCAGAGUAAACCUACACGUGUGACCUAUGGUGGCAAAUUGCAAAAAAACCCUCUCAAUCCAGCUCAAACGAUAAUCAAAUGUAUAGAGUCAUAGCUUUAAGCCCAGAAGAGGGGCUUCAGGGCUGACUAAAUCUGGUGGCUCCGGCUCCAUUUCCCUGUAAUCCUCUCUUCUCUGCCCUUUCCUGGUGUCAGCUGCGUCUUCAGAGACGUUGGAGAUGACUGCAAAGGUCUGGGCUCCUGUCCAAACGUGCGAAAGGCCGGGGAAAGAGUUGAUGCUUCUAGAAGCUGCACCAAAGACCCUGGUAAACUGUUCUUUGCAUCUCACUGACCUGUAUUGUCAUGAUUACCUAGGUAUCAUGCAUUCAGCCAAGUUCUGUCCGAGGGGUUGGUAGAUCAGCUUUUCCUGAAUAGUGGGGCUUCGUGGGAUUCUAGGAAUGAAGAGAGAACAGAUUCUGGGUACCAAUGUUCACUCUAGUAUCCUCCCCCAAACAAUUGUAAUGGCUAGGUCUCAUCUCUUAUUGUUAGGCACUUGGAUUGUUUCUAGUUUUUCACAAAAAUUCACAAGGACACAUAACCCUGUACAUAUUCUUUUGAAUACCUCUUGCAUUAUUUCUUGGAAUGUAAUUCUAGAAAGGGAAUUGCUCAAAAUAUUAACGUUUCUAAGCAUUUGAUUUAUAUUGCCACAUUGCCUUCAACCCCAUUAUUCCAAGUUACACUCCCACCAGAAGGGUAUGAGAAUCCUACUUUUCCAUAUAUUCACCAGCCAUGGGUAUUAUACUUUUUAAAACUCUUCACCAAUGCAUUGGGUGAGAGAGGCAUUUUGUUGUGCUUUAAUCAGCAUUUCUUGAACUAUCAGUAAAUAUUAAUAUUUUUAUAUGUGUUUGUUGGCCAGUUCUAUUUCUUAUCUUGUAAACUGGUCAUUUUCUUUAUCUACAUUUCUGUUAAAGUAUUGAUAAUUUUCUUACUGAUUUUAACCAUUUUUAUAUAUUUAAAAAUUUUUUUAAUUUUAUUUUUUAAAUCUUUUUUUAAGUUUAUUUAUUUUUUGAGAGAGAGAGAGAGAGAGAGAGAGAGAAUAAUGGAGGGGCAAGAGAGAGAGAGGGAAAGAGAGAAUCCCAAGCAAGCUCUGCAUUGUCAGCACAGAGCCCGAUGUGGGGCUCAAACCCACGAACUGUGAGAUCGUGAUCUGGCCAUGAUCAUGAUCAGGAGUCAGAUGCUUCACUGACUGAACCACCCAGGUGCCCUAUAUAUUAAGGAUAUUAUUAAUACUGUGUCUGGUGAAACAAAGUUUAUUAAUAGCAUUUUAAUAGAGAAAUUAUAAAAGUAAUUUAUAAUCAAGUAUAUAAAUCCUUUCUUGUUAUACUUUUCACCUUGGUAACAUGCCCUUAUUUGACUCUACAUUAUAUAAAUACCCAACUAUUUUUUCCAACUAUUUAAUCCUUCUUAAGUAGUUUUGUUGAGAUAUAAGUCACAAGCCAUAAAAGUCUCCCAUUUAAAGUGUAGUAUUCAUUGGUUUUUAGUAUAUUCAUGGAGUUGUACAACCAUCACCAUUGCCUACUUAUAGAAAGUUUUCAUCACCCCGAAAUGAUUACAUUUCCAGUUGCCUGAGCACCGUUCAUUGAAAAGACUGUUCUUUCCCCAUUGAAUUGUCUUGGCAUUCUUGUUGAAAAUCAAUUGAGUAUAAAUGUAAUGGAUUAUUUCUGGGCUCCCAAUUCUAUUCUGUUGAUCUAGAUGUCUGUCUGUGUGUCAGAACCACACCCUCCUGAUGCUUGCAUGUUUGCAGAAAGUUUGGAAAUCAGCAAGUGUGAGCCUUCCAACUUUGCUCUUCCUUCUCAAGACUGUUGGCUAUUAUGGAUCCCUUGCAUUUCCAUAUACAUUUUAGCAUCAGCUUAUCAGUUUCUGCAAAAAAAAAAACAAAAACAAAAAAAACCCAGCAGCUGGGAUUCUGACUGAGAUUACACUGAAUCUAUAGAUCAAUUUGGGGAUACUGCUAUCUUAACAAUAUUAAAUCUUCUGACCCAAAGACAUGGGAUGUCUUUCCAUAAAUAAAGAUCUUCUUUAAAAAAAAAAAAAAGCUUAUUUUCUAAGAAAUGCCGCCUUCCUCAUCCCUCCUGCCUCCCUUUCAACUCCAGAGGAGUAGUACCAGAAGAGAGAUAUGAAGCAAUCUUACAGCAACCAGCUCUAGACUGUGCUGUGAGAGGGAAGAAGUGAUUUGAGUCAGAUCUGACGUUAAGUUUUGAACUGGAUUGGAGUAGUAUGAGUCACCAAAAGGGGCUGGAACAAGAUAUCAUCUGCCCCUGAUGUUAUUAAGCUCAGGCAAGGAAGAUUAGACAUAGAAUGGAUGAAGUAUGAUGAUAAAAAGUGAAAAAAACAUGUUUUUCAUGUUUCUAACUCAAUGGGUUAAGACUUCAAUAAACCUGUUUGCACAAAGCUGAACAAAAGAAACACUCUGCUCUCAAGGAAUUCAUCAUCUCGCCUACACCAUCUUUGCCAAGGCUGCCCCUUUUACAGAAUAAAAUCUUUUGAAAGGUGUCAUGAAUAGUGUUUUUACCCUAAACCUCAUCCAAAUUUCACAUUCAUUAUUUCACCUAAUUUACUGCCCUCCAAAAAUACAUUUACUGUCAAACAACUUUUGUACAAGGAACAGAAUAUUAAUUGAAAGGAACACAUGCUUUCUGGCACAUGAGAAGAACAAGAAAUAAAUGAUGUGAUGAGCACUUUCUUAUUCACUUUAUCAAAAGGUGCUGCCUCAAGGAGGGCGCUAUUGUGCUCCUUGUGAAAGGAAAUUAACACAGGUGUUUGUUAUAAAUAUACAUCCAUGAGUGCCUUUCAGGCUGUUGACUUCUUUCAGAGAUGGUAAAUUGCUCGUUUAUUACACUAAUGUUAAUAUUCACAACUUAAUGUACACAAUUUGUCAAAUGGGAAAUAAAAGAAGCUGAAUUAACACAAACGGAACACAGCUGGCUUAAGAUAAUUAUUUAGGGCUGUGGGGAAAUGCUCAAAACAGCUUAAAACUUAGAAAACAAUGAUCCAAGACUUUAAUUCUUGCAUGUGUACUCUUCCCUAAGCUCUGCUCUAAUACCUACCCAGAAAUUCUUUGAUGACAGGCUUUUCACUGAAGUUUUUUUAAACUUCUGCAAAACAAUUUCUGAUUGCAUUCUUUUCUGUGAUUCUCUAUGAUUUACAUUGAAAAAGUUAAAGUUACUGCCACUUGUUUUUUUAAGCUUAAUUUCCUGUUACUUCUUUUCCAAAAGGACACCAGACUUCAUAUCCUUGAUGGUUUUACUUAGUAAUUCCAUGUCUUUCCUUAAUUUUCAAUGCAGUUUUCUUUCAACUCCCUGUUAUUUGUCUUAUCUUGUACCCAUAAUUAGCCUUUUACCGACCGAAGACCUUCCUAACACCUCCCUGCCUCCUACGCAGGUUUUAUCAUAGUGGAUGGAUUCUACAUUUUCUUUCUCACCUCUGAACCCCACUGGUCUCGUGAAAUUCUCUAUCUUCAAGUGAGGAUAAUCUAUACGGAUUAGAGGGUCCUUGUAAGGGUAUGUGUGUGUACAACAGAAAACAGGGUUCAUGAUUAACUCAAAGGGGGAUGGACAAGGGACUAGUCUCCUAGGCAGACAUCAGCAUUGGAUCCUUUAAUAUAGGGAAUGAAUUUUUUUUUAUUUUUUUUUUAAAUUUUUUUUUCAACGUUUAUUUUUUUGGGACAGAGAGAGACAGAGCAUGAACGGGGGAGGGGCAGAGAGAGAGGGAGACACAGAAUCGGAAACAGGCUCCAGGCUCCGAGCCAUCAGCCCAGAGCCCGACGCGGGGCUCGAACUCACGGACCGCGAGAUCGUGACCUGGCUGAAGUCGGACGCUUAACCGACUGCGCCACCCAGGCGCCCGGGAAUGAAUGUUUAAAGUAGAUUUAUUGACGUAUAAUCCACAUGCCAUAAAGUUCACCCUUUAAAAUUGUCCACUUCAAUACCGUUUAGUAUAUUCAUAGUGUCAUGAGUUUAUCACUACUAUCUAGUUUCAGAACAUUUUCAUCAUCCCCCAAAGACAACAUUAGCAUCGCUCCCUCCCGCCAGCUUUAGGCAACUAGCCGUCUGUUUUCUGUCUCUCAAAAUAUUUGACCUUGUGUGUCUGGCUUCGUUAACUUAGAAUAUCAAUGUUUUGUCAUGUAUCAAUACUUGAUUCCUUCUUAUGGCCAAAUAAUAUUCCACUGUAUGGAAAUACCACAUUUUACUUAUCCGUUUACCAGUUGAUGGACAUUUGGGUUGUUUUCUUUUUUUUUUUUUUUUCAACGUUUAUUUAUUUUUGGGACAGAGAGAGACAGAGCAUGAACGGGGGAGGGGCAGAGAGAGAGGGAGACACAGAAUCGGAAACAGGCUCCAGGCUCCGAGCCAUCAGCCCAGAGCCUGACGCGGGGCUCGAACUCACGGACCGCGAGAUCGUGACCUGGCUGAAGUCGGACGCUUAACCGACUGCGCCACCCAGGCGCCCCCAUUUGGGUUGUUUUCUAAUUUUUGUCUAUUAUGAAUUAUGUUGCUACAAACAUUUACAUACACAUUUUUGUGUGGACAUAUUCUUUCAGUCCUCUCGGGUGUAUACCUAGAAGUAGAAUUUUUGGGUCAGAUAGUAACUCUGCAUUGGACACUUUGAAGAAUAACAAAAACAUUUUCCAAGGUAGAUACAACAUUUUACAUUCCUACCAGCCGUGUAGGAGGGUUCCAAUUGCUCUACAUCCUUGAAAACACUUGUUAGUGUUGAUAGUCCUUUUUGAUUGUAGCUACCCUACUGGAUGUGAGAUUAGCAUUUCCCUAAGUAGUAAUGAUGUUGAGCAUCGUUUCAUGUGCUUGUUAGCUAUUUGUAUAUCUUCUAUGAAGAAAUAUCUGCUCAAAUCUUUUGUCUAUUUUUUAAUUGAGUUAAUAGUCUUUUUACAUUGGGUUGCAAGAAUUCUUUAUAAAAUUCUAGAUAUAAGUCUCUUAUCAGAAAUGACUUGCAAAUAUUUUCUCUUUUAUUCUGAGAUCGUAUCAUUGAUGGUAUCAUUUUCAGCAAAAACGUUUUGAAUUUUUAUGAAUACAAAUUUAUCUAUUUUUCCCUUGGUUGCUUGUGAUUUUGAUGUCAUAUUUAAGAAACUAUUGUCUAAUCCAAGGUCAUGAAAUUUUAUCCUAAAAGCUUUGUAUUUUUAGCUCUUCUAUUUAUGUCUUUGACCCAUGUUUAGUUAAUUUUUGUAUAUGGUAUGAGGUAGGGAUCCAACUUCAUUCUUUUGCAGGUAGGUAUCCAAUUGUCUGUACACCAUUAUUGACCUGUUCUUUUCUUAUUAGCUCCCUUGCCAAAAGUCAAUUAACCAUAAGAAUAAAGGCAUGUAAGGGUAACUCUCAAGCCUAUUUUGUUGACUUGUCUAUCCUUAUGCCAGUGCCACAUUGACUUGAAUACUGUAGCUUUGUAAUAAGUUUGGAAAUCUGGAAAUAUGAGUCCUCCAACCUUGUUCUUUUUCAAGAUAGUUUUUUUUUUUUAUUUUUUUUAAAUUUUUUUUUUUUCAACGUUUAUUUAUUUUUGGGACAGAGAGAGACAGAGCAUGAACGGGGGAGGAGCAGAGAGAGAGGGAGACACAGAAUCGGAAACAGGCUCCAGGCUCUGAGCCAUCAGCCCAGAGCCUGACGCGGGGCUCAAACUCACAGACCGCGAGAUCGUGACCUGGCUGAAGUCGGACGCUUAACCGACUGCGCCACCCAGGCGCCCCUCAAGAUAGUUUUGACUCAUUAGGGUUCAUUGCAUUUCCAUAUGAAUUUUAGAAUCACUUGUCAAAUACAAGUGAAAAGAGCAGCUGGAAUUUUAAGAGGAAUUAUUUGAAUCUGAGAUCAAUUUAGGGAGUAAAGUGUAAAAGUGAGAUGUUUCUAUUUAUUUAGAUCUUUAAUUUUCUUCAAAGAUAUUUUGUAAUUUGUAGUGUUCAAGUACUGACUUUCUUUUAUUAAGUUAAUUUUAAGUAUUUUAUUUUUUAAUUAAGUUGUUUAUGAAAUUGUUUUCUUGUUUUCCUUUUGAGAUUGUUCAUUGGUGAAGUAUAGAAAUACAAUUGAUUUUUGUAUAUUAGUCUUGUAUCCUGAAACGUUGCAUCCUACUAACUAGUAUUAAUUUUUUUUAAUGUUUCUUUAUUUUUGAGAGAGAGAGAAAGGGAGAGAGAGAGAAAGAGAGAGAGAGAGAGUGAAAAAGACCUAGUGGGGGAGGGGCAGAGAAAAAGAGGGAGACAGAGAAUCCGAAGCAAGCUCUGUGCUCUCAGUGCAAAGCCCUACAUGGGCUCAAACUCAUGAACCCUGAGACCAUGACCUGAGCUGAAGUCAGACACUCAAUAAAAUGAGCCACCCAAGCACCCCUAGUAUAAUCCUAAUAGGUUUACUGUAGAUUUUGCAAGAUUUUCAAUAUACAAGGUCAUGUUAUCUGUGACUAUAGAUACUUUUACUUCCUCAAUUUCAAUAUGGAUGUCUCUUAUUUCUUUUGGUUGCCUAAUUGCCUUGGUUAGAACUUUAUACAAUUUUGGGGCACCUGGGUGGCUCAGUCAGUUGAGCAUCUGACUUCAGCUCAGGUCAUGAUCUCAUGAUUAGUGAGCUCCAGCCCUGUAUCAAACUCUCUUUCUCAAAAAUAAGUAAAAUUUAAAAAACAAAAAGCUUCCUAUAUAAUUUUGACUAAAAAUUGUAAGAGUAGACUUCCUUAUCUUUUCCUGAUCUAAGGAUGAAAUAAUUCAGUGUGUCACCAUUGAGUGUAAUAUUAGAUAUUAGCUGUGAAUGUUUCUUAGAUGUUCUUUUUUUUUUAAUGUUUAUUUAUUUUUGAGAGAGAGAGAGAGAGAGCGCAUGUGCACUCAAAUGGGGGAUGGGCAGAGAGAGAGGCAGACAGAGGCUCCAAAGCAGGCUCCUGGCUGACAGCAGCAAACCUGAUGUGGAACUCAAACCCAUGAACCAUGAAAUCAUGACCCGAGCUGAAGUCAGACACUCAACCAACUGAGCUACUCAGGUCUUAGAUGUUCUUUAUCAGGUCUUAGAUGUACUUUAUCAGGUCAAGGAAAUCCUUUUGUAUUCCUAGUUUGUGAAGUGUUUUUAUUUGAAAAGGGUGUUGGCUUUUGCCCAGUGUUUUUCCUGCAUCUAUUGAGAUUAUUAUGUGAGUCUUAACUUUAAUCUAUUAAUAUUGUAUAUUACAUUGAUUGACUUUAUAUUUGUUAAACCAACUUUUCAUCCUGGGAUAAAUCCCAUUUGCUCAUGGUGCAUAUUCCUUUUUGUGUGUCACUGCAUUUGGCAUACUACUAUUCUGUUGGAGAUUUUUACAUUUACAUUCAGUUUUUACAUUUACAUUCUAGUUUUCUUGUAAUUAUUUUUGUCUGAUUCUGGUAUCAUGGUAAUCAUAUAUUUGAGAGUUAUUCUUGCUCAUAUUUUUUGGAGGGUAAAGGAUUGGUACUAAAACUUCUUUAAAGGCUUGGUAAAAUUCACUUGUGAAGCCAUCUGAGCUUGGGCUUUUUUUAAGGAAAUUUUAAAAAAUUAUUAAUUUAAUCUCUUGUUACUGGUAUAGUAAAAUUUUUUUAAUAUCUUCUUGAGUUUUUGUCUUUUUAGUAAUUUGUUCAUUUCAUCUAAGUUAUCUAACUUGUCAUCAUGUAAAUGUUUAUAGUAUUCUCAUAUUCUCUUUUUUAUUUUUGAAUGGUACACAAUGAUAACUCCUCUUUUAUUCUUGAUAUUAGUAAUUUGAGUCUUUCUUUUUUCUUGUACAGUCUUGGUAAUGGUUUGUCAGUUUUGCUGAUCUUUUCAAAGAGCCAACUUUUGGUUUCUUUUAUAGUUUCUAUUAUUUUUCUAUUUAUUUGUUUCCUCUCCAACAUUUAUUAUUUCCUUCAUUCUGUUUGCUUUUGGUUUAGUUUGCCUGUAUUAUUAUUAUUUUUUUACUUUAUUAAAGUGGAAAAUUUAUUCCAUAAAUUUUACUGUCUCGUUUUUUCAUUUUCAUUAAGGUCAGAUUAUUUUCUGAUUGCUCUUGUGAUUUUUUUCUUUUGCCUGUUGUUUAUUUAGGAGUGUGUUGCAUACUUUCCACAUAUUUGAGAAUUUACCAAUUUUUCUUUUAUUAUUGAUUUCCAGGGUUUUUUUUUUUAAUUUUUGUUAACGUUUAUUCAUUUUUGAGAGACAGAGAGAGACAGAGCAUGAGUAGGGAAGGGGCAGAGAGAGAGAGAGACACAGAAUCUGAAGCAGGCUCCAGGCUCUGAGCUGUCAGCACAGAGCCCAACGUGGGGCUCGAAAUCACGGAACUGCGAAAUCAUGACCUGAGCCAAAGUCCGACGCUCAACUGACUGAGCCACCCAGGUGCCCCUAUUGAUUUCCAGUUUUAUUACUUGUUAUCAGAAAACAUUACUCAUAUGUUUUAAAUUCUUUUAAAUGUAUUGAGGCUUAUUUUAUGGCCUGACAUAUGAUAAUCCUUGAGGAAUGUUUCAUGUGCACUUGAGAAGAAAGCUUUCGUUGGGCGGAGUGUUCUAUAGAUUUCUGUCAGGUCUCAUUGAUUUGUAGCGCUGCUCAAGUCUUCUAUUUCCUUGUUAAUCUUCUGCCUCGUUACUCUAUUUAUCAUUGAAAGUGAGAUAUUGAAGUCUCCAAUUAUAAUUGUUAAAUUUUCUAUUUUUCCCUUCAGUUCUGCAUUCCGUGGUUCUGUUGUUAACUACAUAUAUGUUUAUAAGUAUUAUAUCUUCCUGAGGGAUUGAAACCUUUAUCAUUAUAAAGUUUAAUUCUUUUUCACUGGUAACAACUUUUGGCUUAAAAUCCAGUUUGCCUGAUAUUAGUAUAGCCACAAUAGCUCUCUUUUGGGUAUUGUUGGCACAGUAUGUAUUUUUGCAUCCUUUUACUUUCCCCCUUUUGUAUCUUUCAAUCUAGUUGAGUCUUGUUUUUGUAUCCAUUCUCCCAGUUUAUGCCUUUUGAUUGGGAUGUGUAUUCCAUUUGCACUUAGUGCAAUUAUUGAUAAGGUAGGAUUUGCAUCUACCACUUUAUUCGUUGUUUGUCCCCUGCAUAAGUGACAUGGUUUUUGUUCUCCAUUAUGGCCUUCUUUUGUGUUAAAUAGGUAUUUUAUAGUAUAUCAUUUUAAUUCCCUUGUUUCUUUUACUGUAUUUUGGGGCUAUUUUUCUUAGAGAUUGCCUGGGAAUUAAAACUACAGUUAAAACUAUCUUGUAUGGAUUAAUACUAACUUGAUUUCAAUAGUAUACAAAACUUUGCUCCAAACUAGCUCCAUUCACUCUUCCUUCAUUGCACUAUUAUUGUCAAACACAUUACUUCCUUACAUAUUAUAAUUCUAUCAACAGCUUUAUGAUUAAUGCUUCAGCAAUUGUCUUUUAAAUCAGAUAGGAAAAUAAAGGAGUUACGAACAAAAGUACAUUUAUAUUAUCUUUUAUGUUUACAUAUGUGUUUACCUUUACUGGUAUGCUUUAUUUCUUCAUAUGGAUUCAAGUUUCUGCUUAGUGUCCUUUCAUUUCAGCCUGAGGGUUCUCUUUAACAUUUCUUAUAAGGUAGGCUUGCUAAUGGUUAAUUCUCUCUGUUUUUGUUUAUCUAGGAAAGUCUUAAUUUCUCCUUCAUUCUUUUAAAAAACAAUUUUUUUUAACAUUUAUUCAUUUUGGAGAGACAGGGCACAAGCAGAGAGAGAGGGGGACACAGAAUCUGCAGCAGGCUCCAGGCUCUGAGCUGUCAGCACAAAGCCCGACACAGGGCUUGAACUCACAAACCGUGACAUCAUGACCUGAGCCGAAGUUGGACGCUUAACCAACUAAGCCAUGCAGGCACCCCUAAUUUCUCCUUCAUCCUUAAAGGGUAGUUUUGCUGGAUAUAGAAUUGGUAGAUGGGGCGCCUGGGUGGCUCAGUCAGUGAAGCGUCUGACUCUUGGUUUUGGCUCAGGACAUGACCAUGGUUUGUGAGUUCCAGCCCCAUGUCGGGGUCUGCGCCGACGAUGCUGAUCCUGCUUGGGAUUCUCCCUUGCCUUCUCUCUCUGCCCGUCUCCCACUUGCAUUCUCUCUCUCUCUCUCUCUCAGAAUAAAUAAAUAAACUUAGGAAAAAAGAAUUGGUAGAUAAUCUUUCUUUUAGCAUUUUGAAUAUAUUAUCAUACUGCCUUUUGGCUUCCAUGGUUUCUGAUGAGAAGUCAACUGCUAAUGUUACUGAAGACCUCUUGUAUAUGAGUUUCUUCUCUCUUGCUGUUUUUGGAUUCUCUCUUUGGCUUUUGACAGUUUAGUUGAUGUGUCUGUAUGUGAACCUUUUUGAGUUUGUUGUAAUUGAAGUUUGUUGCAUUAUUUUGUGCAGAUUAGUGCUUUCAUUGAAUUUGUGAUGUUUUUGCCAUAUUUUAAAAAAUAAUCUUUCUGCCCCUUUCUGUUCUCUCCUUCUGAGACUUCAGUUAUGUAUAUUUAGAUAAUAUUGGUAUUUUCCCUCAGAUCUCUGACACUCUGUUCAUCUUUACUCAUUUUGAGUCUAUCUGGUGAUUUUUUCAUUUCAGUUGUACUUUACAACUCCAGAAGUUCUAUUUGAUUCUUUUUUAUAAUUUCUAUUUCUUUAUUGAUAUUUUAUAUUUGGUGAAACAUCUUUAGUUUCCUUUACUUCUUUGAAUAUAUUUAUAAUAGUUGGUUUAAAGUCUAUCUAGUAAGUUGAACAUCUCACCUUCCUCAGGCACAGUUUCUAUUGACCGUUUUUCCUGUGUGUGUGUGUGUGUGUGUGUGUGUGUGUUUGGAUGACAUAAUUUUUUGUUGAAAACUGGACACUUUAUGUAAUAAUAACACGGGAGCUCUGGAAAUCAGAUUCUUCUCUCCCUUCCCAGGGUUUGCGAUAGUUCCUGCUGUUCACUGUUGUCACUGCUGCUGUUUGUUGGGUUUCAUGACUUUCCUGAUCGAAUUCUGCAAAAUCUGGAUUGUGAUAUGUGGCUUCCAAAGCACCUGCUCCCAAAGUAGCUUAGUAAUAAGCAAUAAUUACCGAUUUCCUUGUAUUCCUGGAUCCAGUAAGUCUCCCAGCUUUUCGUGAGGGCCUUCGUGCAUGUGUCAGGGCAGACAUUUUCUAUGCUGGUCUUAGUCUUCACUUCCUGUUUGUAUAGAACCUCAAGCUCGGGGAGAGGUGAGAGUUGCACACUGCCCUGUGCAUGCCUGUGACCUGUAUGUUCCCAAGAACGUGUUGGAUCUUUGCAAAACCCCUCGUGGACAUCUCAUUCCCCAGUUUUUCCUUGUAAGUUUUUUGGUCAGUCUCUUGUUAGCUGCAAGUGACCUCAGGCAGCUUUCAUGUUUGUGUAUUACCUACCGCUCUUUGUGUAUUAAGAUAUUUUAAUACCUUUCUAAACCUCUGAUUUCUGAACUAGUAUUAUCCUCAUUUUCAAAUGAAGAAACCAAGACCCAGAAAAGUUAAGUCUAUACACAUGUCGUCACACUGCUGGUCAGUGAUUGCAUCAGCAUCCAAAAGUCUUCAGACUGUCUCCUUCCAAAGCCCAAGGGGAUAUGGCUGAAAAGUAGUUUGGAAUUAGACACUGGGCGGUUUGAAUGCUUUGAAUACUGUGUAGUCCAGUCUCCUGGACUGGACCCAGUAGUUGAGAGAAUGGUGUUCUAAUGGUAGAAUUCUUACACCCAUUGUAAGGACACCAGUGGUGAUACCUCAGCACCAGUUGGAAGGUGGAAGAGAAUUUUGUCCUUUGGGAAGCAAAAAUGCUUUCCCUCUUUCCCACCUUUUAUAACAAACUAGUCUUUACCUUCCAGACUUGUACCCCCAGAGGUGACCAACACCUAUUUACCCUUUCAGAUGUAAAGAAAGUGGAUACCUGUGACCCGGCACAACCAUGGCUCCCUGAACAACAUUCCUUUGGGGCUGCAGUUUCCUCCCUGUAAAAUAUGGGGCUGGAUUAGAUGACUUCUAAGGUCCCUUCUACCAUAACAUUAUUAUAUUAACCCUUUAACUCAAAGUCUGACUGAGAAUCAAAGUGACACCUGCUGUAAAAUGAGAGUAUGGAAAGAGCGGGAGAGCAUCAGACAGGAGCACUCUCUGUUUGCUCUCUCCCCCUCUCUGUCACUUCUGCUCAAAAUAAAAGAUUAGGAAGUGCCCCUCAUACAAACAUGAGAAACAGAACUCCUGGAACCUUUUGUUUUUACAUCAUGUCAUAGUGAGACAGUUAGCGUUUAUUCCCAAGGUCAGUAUUCACUGAAACACAGCUAAGUCAAACUUGGAACAUGACUCGGCAGUAGACUAAUAAACUUCCUAUGGAAGUUUUCCACUGGUCAACUAAGCAACUUAUAAUAGUCGGAGACACUUAAAAGUUCUUGCUGGAGCCUUUUUAAAUGUGAAGAAAUUAAGUACAGAAAUAGCAGAGUAAAGAAAUGUACCCAGGAAGUAGCCCUUGGGGUCUGGCUGUUAAGUAAUGGGGGUAGGGUUUUGGUUUUUAAGCAAACAUACCAAAGCCUGCACAUGCUCCUGUCUGACUUGAAAGCAACCACCCCAGAGAGAAUACCGUCUCAAAACAUUUAGGAAUGCUUUCAGUGAAACUGUCUUCAGAGGCAGGGAAAACUUUCUUUAACAUCCUAGGAGCAGUUCAACCUUAGGUGUUUGAGGAUGGGCUUAAUUGGUGAAACGAAUCACAAAUUAGACCAGAGGUUUCCAUAGUGACUAAGGAAGAUAAUCAAGAUAGAUCAUAUUCCUCUGGAUUUCUAACUGUGGUGUGAUCGCAUUGUUUUCGGCCUUACUCUGUAAACUCUGUAAAUGGGGAUGACAGAGUAGAGCCACGCUGCCCACCUUUUUUGCUGGUAGGUUGGUAUUUAUUUCUGAUGCUGUUGGCAUCAGCCAGGCUCUGGCCGGGAACACGUGGCUUAUUCAAAGGGCAAAAGGGCAUAAGUGAAGAGGGCUUAGGAGGGUUUUUUUACAGUGGCAUUGGUAGGACAGAGCCUGUUGUGAGCAUUGUUCCUCUCUGUUCCAAACAGCGAGGGAGCAGAUCUGUUCCACAGUAGAGUAAAAGUGUCUUUUUGUGGACCUCAUUGCUGCCCAGGUGUUUGUUCCAGUGACAAAUAAUCAAUCAAGCUAUUUCUGUCUGAGGAGAAGAUAGGCUUUUUGAUAAAUGAUGUUGGGACAAAUAGCCCCUUGGAAAAGGUUAAAAGCGCAUCUAAUCCUCACAUUGAAAUAAACUCCAAAUGGAUCGGAGAUCCGAAUGCAACUGUGAAACCAAAGAAGUAUCCCAUGGUGAAUUACUUUAUAACCUGGAAGUGAAAAAGGCCUUUCAAAAUCCAGGAACAAAAUGGGGAAAAGAUUGAUAACAUUUACUACCAAAACAAACAAAACAAAGCACCCUAGUAAGCCAAGUCAAAAGGCAAUGACAAACCAGGAGAGAGCAUUUGCAAGUUAUCUCACAGAUGAGGGCAAGUAUACAGAGAACCCUUAAAGAUGGAGAAACCCCCAAUUGGACACAAGUAUAGACAAGAGUCAUGGACAGAGAGAAAUGUGAGAAAAGAGAGAAAAAGAAAUGUGAGUCGUCCCUUACACGUAUGAAAUGAUGCUCAUGUUCCCUUAUAAAAGAGAAAGGCACAUUAAAACUUUCCUGAACCUAAAAGUUUGAUGACAUUUUCUAUUGAGAGGAAAGCACGAAACAGAACAGACCUUAUGCAAGGGGAUUUGACAAAGUUUAGCAAAAUCACAUACGUAUUAACCUUUGACCCAGCAGCCCCACUUUUAGGAAGCUAUCCUGAAAGUACACGUCCAUAAAUUUGCACAAGGUUGUGCAAUACAACAUUGUCUGCAGUAGCAAAAUGCCAGAAAUCACCUAAAUGUUCACCCAUGGGGCAGUGGGCAAAUAAACGGCAAUACACACACAAAUUAGAGAUGCGGCAGUCAUAAAAAUACGAAGGCAAAUGUCUAUGAACUGAGAUAAUUUCCAGAAUAUAUUUUUAGCUUUAGCCCAUAGUAGUACACAGAGCAUGUACUGUGUACUUUGUGUUUGAGAAUAAAAGGCGGAAUAAGAAUAUACUUACAUAUGUGCUUCUGUUUUCAAAAAGAAGCAAUAAAACUGUUUGCUCUAGGAGGUGGAGAGAUGAAGGAAGGGGGAAGGUUGGAAGUGAAACUUCAGUGAGUUUGGUUACCCGUUCACCCAGUUUGUACUUUGGGAUCAUGUAAAUGUUUUGCGUAUUUAAAAAAUUAAAAUGGGGGUACCUAGGUGGCUCAGUCGGUUAAGUAUCAUUGGACUCUUGAUUUGGGCUCAGGUCACGAUCUCAUAGUUGGUGGGAUCGAGACCUACAUCCAGUUCUGCACUGACAGCAUGGAGCCUGCUUGGGACUCUCUCCCUCUCUCUCUGGCCUCUCUCUCUCUCUCUCUCCCUCUCCCCCCUCUCUCAAAAAUAAAUAAAUAGACUUAAAAAUUUUUGGAAUAAAAAAGACUAGAAUAAAUUCCUAAACCAGAAAACAAAUUGGAACAAAUGAACCUAACUUUAUUUUCAAUGUGGCAACAUAGCUACACAAAGAACAGAAUCACUUCAGUGCUCUGAUUAUACACCCUUUGUGGGAUAUGAUCCAAAGAUAGGUGACUAGAAACAGAUCUUAAACUUCAGUCAAAAAUUUGUUGUUAAAAAGGCUAAAAUUAAUAACAUAAGAAACAACAGGUGUUGGUGAGGAUUUGGAGAAAGCUUCCUGCACUGUUGGUGGGAAUGAAAACUGGUGCAGCCACUCUGGAGAACAAUAUGGAGGUUCCUCAAGAAACCAAAAAUAGAACUACCCUAUAGCCCAGCAAUUGCACCACUAGGUGUUUACCCAAAGGAUACAAAAAUACAGAUUUGAAAGGGUACAUGUACCCCAAUGUUUAUAGCAGCAUUAUCAACAAUAGCCAAACUGUGGAAGGAGCCCAAAGGUCCACUGACUGAUGAAUGGAUAAAGAAGAUAUAUAUACAAUGGAAUAUUACUCAGCCAUCAAAAAGAUGCAAUGACAUGGAUGGAGCUAGAAUGUAUUAUGUCAAGCAAAGUGAGUCAAUCAGAGAAAGACAAAUACCAUGUGAUUUUACUCAUAUGUGGAAUUUAAGAAACAAAAUGGAUGAACAUAUUGGAAGUGGGGAAGAGAAGGGAAACAAACCGCAAGAAACUCUUAAUGAUACAGAACAAACUGAGGCUUGAUAGAAGGAGGUGGGUGGGAGAUGGGCUAGGUGGGUGCUGGGUAUUGAGGAGGGCACUUGUUGUGAUGAGCACCAGGUGUUGAAUGUAAGUGACGAAUCACUGAAUUCUACUCCUGAAACCAAUAUUGCAGUGUAUAUUAACUAACGAAAAUUUAAAUUAAAAAAAUUUGUUGUUAUAGUAUGACAAUUCUGAACUAGGAGAAAACAUAUAACUCUGAAUUAGGGGGAAAUAAAUAUUAUACCCACCAAGACUUUCAGUGUAAGAAAAAAGAUGCAAAGCAAAUGUUAAAUCAAAGAAGUUAAAAUAAAACACUGUAAGUUUAAAUUUGAAUUGAGAAUGUCCAUAUGAACUCACCUUCAAAAGUGUAUGUCUUUCCUAGAUCUGUCCACUGAAAAGGCCAAGAUGUAAUAAUACCCUAGUGUCAGUGAACACAUCUUGCCCCCAGAUCUUGGUUUCUUUUUUUUUUUUUUUAAUGGUUUAUUUAUUUUUGAGAGAGAGAGAGAGAGAGAGAGCAUGUGAGCAGGAGGGGGCAGAGAGAGAGAGGGAGACAGAGGAUCCCAAGCUGACAGUGCAGAGCCUGAUGCGGGGCUGGAACCCACGAACUGGGAGAUCAUGACCUGAGUGAAAGACGCUUAACCAACUGAGCCACCCAGGUGGCCCUGGAGAUCUUGGUUUCUAAAUAUCAUUUCUCACCAACACGAAGAAUGUCCUUAUUCUUAGGAGAUGCAUGUUGAAAUCUUUAGGAAUAAAGUGGCAUGAAUACAGUUUAUUCUCGAUGCUUCAGCUGUGUGUAUGCGUGUGGUAAGGAUCUAACGAUUGCACCAAGUAAUCCCUUUUCCCGCACUUGGCAUAGCUCCUCAGAAUUAGCUCCAGCUGCCCACGCUCUCUUCUGGUCGUGGCCUCCAUUCUGAAGAUGAACCAGAGCCUGAAAAGAUGCAGAUUACUAAAGUGCAUGUCUCUGAGGCUCAGAGACUCUAAAGAUGAGAAACGCGUGCUCUAAUUUUCUGCUUAAAACUACUUAAAUCCUUUCGAUUUGAGAUAUUUAAAAUAGAUCACACCUGAGUUCAAUCUUUCUUUUUAAAUGUUUAUUUAUUUUGAGAGUAAGAGAGAGCCGAAGAGGGGCAGAGAGAGGGACAGAGAGAGGAUCCCAAGCAGGCCCCACUCUGACAGUGCGUAGUGGGCAGGCACGGGGCUCAGACUCCACGAACCGCGAGGUCAUGACCUGAGCCGAAAUCGGGAGUCAGACACUUAGCCAACUGAGCCACCCAGGCACCCUGGGACUUCAGUCUUAGUGGUCAAAAGCGCUGAUUGAAGUACCAUUUCCCAGUGCUUUUUUGGUGUCUUUGGCUGUGAUAGCUGAGCGUGCGCAUUCGUAGCCGCUGGCUUCGAUGUGGCUCUGAUCUUUCCUCGGGAAUUGAGAAAUGUGGGUUCUUCCUGGGCCUCGAUGACUUGCUGUGUAAUUCGCGGCAAGUCAGACCACCUUUGGGAUCUUUGUUUUCAACGGCCAAAGAUGAGGGUUGGACUUGAUUUUUUUUUUUUUCCCGCAGUAAAUUUUUGUGAUUUUGAAUUCUCUCCAAGUGGGGCAAUGUAUCUGCAGAUAUCAGGAGCAGCAAGAGAAAAGAGUAAGGCUUCACUGGGAUGUGAGGGGCCACCUGGAGUAGUUUAAUUUUUCCAGCUAAUUUUUUUAUAUCAAUCCUGUAUCAGAUUCUUUAAACAUGUUAAAAAUGGAUAAGGGCAACAGAUGGUUCCUUAAUUACAAGAACAGUAUUUUGGUAUAUGAUUUUAUUGAUAAUUAUCCUUAAUUCCAAAAAUUUUUUAAGCUUAUUUAUUUAUUUCAGAGAGAGAGAGAGGGAGACAGAGAGACAGAGAGGAGAGAACACACACGCAUGCGCAUAAGCGGGAGAGGGAGGAGGGACAGACUCCCGAGCAGGCUUCACUCCAUCAGCGCAGAGCCCGAUGCGGGGCUUGAAGUCACGAACUGUGAGAUCAUGACCUGAGCCGAGAUCAAGAGUAGGAUGCUUAACUGUGCCAGCCAGGUGCCCCUCCAACAAAUUUUUUUUUUUUAAUCUAGAAGGAAGACAAUGGCUUGUGAGUGGUUCCAAUCCAGCACCUCCCUGUGGCUGCAGCUCGCACGGCUAUGCUAGAGCUGGCCGACGAUUUGUAACAUGCCUCAGGUUUGGGGUGAUAUACUCCCGAAUAACUUAUCACGGCAGAACCAUUGAAACACAGUAAAUCCUCUUGUUCCCUUGUGUGACUGGGGAAUUAGACAAUCAACCGCGACCAUCUAAACGUCUUGGAAUGCAAAACGCACGAAGCAUGAAAUCCUCUUGAAAACCAUUUCAUUCUCUUAAUUAUUCAUUAGGUUCCUCAGCGUCUGACAGACCUUCAAGGUCACUAUUAUGAACGUUAAUUAUCAAUGUAAUGUGACCGGGGAAAAGCCGGUUUUAAAAGAGUCCUGUCUGGCAGAAUUCUGCAAGUGAAAGAAGGCACCGUUUUAUUUGGGUGUGCGUGCAUCUACUCUGUUGCUGUAUGGUGAGAGAAUGGGAGUUUUGGAAGCAGACCUUCCAGACUCUUCUGGCCGCCUGGGAUAGUCACCCACUCUGCGUAAACUCUCGCACGGAGGCCUGGAGGGAGAGGGUACGUGCCGAUCGGGUGGUCGGGGAAAGAGAGAAGAUCCGGUGCCAGGCAGGGAUGGCAAGUUCUCCACGACCGGGGGGUGAUGCCUCCCCCCGAGCCAGCUGGCUUGUUCAUGCAGUCAGCGUUGAUCGGGUGUCUUCUCCUGACCAUGCUUUGCGCUGGCUUGGAAACAGCACCAACGUGGAGUAGGCUGAAUGGAGCUGCUUCAAGUGCAGUCUUUCCACACAAUUAGCUGAGGGUACACUUCUCACCGUUUCCCCCCAUCCCCUCGGAGCUCACCACCGCUACUAAGAGGUACUGUGAAAUUUAAGCCCAUUGAAUAUAAAUGCGUAAUGACUGAUGCAUUGAAGUAUUUGUUCCUCCAGCAAAUCGUUGUGAAGUGGUUCAUUUUGGAGUGACUGUCCAGAAACGUCAUUUUCAGGCCUCCUCAGUGUCCUCCUCUCUUUGGCACAGCAAGCACUUCUGUGGCCCCAACUUAGGACAAGUUUAGGCUGAGGACAUGCCUCCAAAAACAACUGGUUAUGUUGAUAUGACAAAAUAAUGCUGGAGAAGUUCUCAGAAUGAACUGGGCUGCCAUCCAAACAGGCUCAUAGUUGACAGUGUUCUGAUGUGUUAGAUUGUACCUUCUGGAAAAAAACAGGAUUGUCUAUACAGCAUUUUCAUCACAAACUGAUUCCUCAACUUAUUUUAGCUGUGUGGCAUUAGCAUGCAUGUAUUAAACGUUAGCGCUGGGAAUAGACCACAAACACCCAGAAAGGUACAGAUGGGAGAAAGCUCUGGAAUGUGAGGGUAAGGUGGCUGAAUCAUCUGAUCCUUGGACUUGCUGCACUGUGCCGAUUUAGAAUGUCAAGUUCAGGGGCGCCUGGGUGGCGCAGUCGGUUGAGCGUCCGACUUCGGCCAGGUCACGAUCUCGCGGUCCAUGAGUUCGAGCCCCGCGUCGGGCUCUGGGCUGAUGGCUCGGAGCCUGGAGCCUGCUUCCGAUUCUGUGUCUCCCUCUCUCUCUGCCCCUCCCCCGUUCAUGCUCUGUCUCUCUCUGUCUCAAAAAUAAAUAAAACGUUAAAAAAAGAAAGAAUUUUUAAUAAAAUGUCAAGUUCAGGGGCACCUGGGUGGCUCAGUUGGUUAAGUGGCUGACUCUCAGUUUCAGCUCAGGUCAUAAUCUCACAGUUUCGAGAGCUCGAGGCCCAUCCCGGACUCUAUGCUGAUGGUGCAGAGCCUGCUUGGAAUUCUCUCUCUCUCUCCCUCUAACUCUGCCCCCUCCCCCAUUCACACCGUCUCUGUCUCUCUCAAAACAAAUAAAUAAACUUAAACAUAAAUAAAUAAAUAAAUAAAUAAAUAAAUAAAUAAAUAAAUAAAUAAAAUGUCAAGUUCUUGGUCCCUGCCAUUCCAAAGACGGAACCUAAUUCCCCUCCCUUGACAAUGGGCUGGACUUAGAGACUUGCUUCUAAUAAAUAGAAGGAUGCAGAAAUGGUGGUGUGACUAUGGUGAUUAGGUUAUUAAAAGGGCAUCACAACUUCCUGAUUACUCUCUCUGAUCCUGUCCUCUUCGGGGAGCCAGCUGCCACGUCACCAGCACAGAUACAGAGUCCAAUGAUGAGGUCCAUGUGUGAGGAACUGAGGUAUGUCCUACCAGCAGCCACGAGAGAGAGCCACCUAGGGGGGCAGAUCCUUCAGCCCUAGGCACACCUUCAGAUGACUGCAGCCCCAGCUGACAUCUUGACUGCAACCUCAGGAGGCAUCUUGAGCCAGAACCACCCAGCUAAGCCACUCCUACAUCGCUGGCUCUCAGAAACUGGUGGAUAAUAAAUAUG
rnacentral:lncRNA from 1 species